rnacentral:ribozyme from 13 species
AAAAACAAAAACAAAAACAAAAAACAAAAACAAAAACAAAUGGUUUCGACUGUUUUUGUGUUUG